GUUUUUCUUUCACUGUCGCUGAAAAGUGACGCAAUCCAGGCGUAUAAAAGAGACCGCCUUCCCUCAUGACGAUCUCUUGAGUCGUUGCUAUCGCUUGACGAGAACAUCUUCUCAUCAUGAGAGCGAAGUGGCGAAAGAAGCGUAUGCGCAGGCUGAAGCGUAAAAGGAGAAAGAUGAGGCAGAGGUCUAAGUAAACUGGACCCCCCUGUCGCUGAAGCUGAGAUUGAUCUUCAACUCCAGUCUCCUUGGCAAGAGUCUGCUGGAAGCCCAAUUCAAGAUCCUUUCAUCCACCACCUGAGAGCCCAGCCAUCUUCUCAGCGGAGGCUUUGGUUUUUCCAUCACUUGGUUCUGCAGAAACAUCCUGGUCUUCAUGAUCCUGUGAACUGUUUUUGGACAUUCCCAGACUUAUCAGCGCAGCUUGUAUUUUGUUAAUCUCGUCAAUAAAUUUUUGGUUUAACAGAA